GACGAACGCUGGCGGCGUGCUUAACACAUGCAAGUCGAGCGGCGCGGCGAACGGGGGAGUAACGCGUGAGUAACUGCCCCCCUCUCUGGGAUAACAGUUGGAAACGGCUGCUAAUACCGGAUCGUUGGGGAUGACGCGGGUCCUAUCAGCUUGUUGGUGGGGUAGUGGCCUACCAAGGCGACGAAGGGUCGCCGGCCUGAGAGGGCGACCGGCCACCUUGGGCUGGGGUACGGACCAAACUGCUACGGGAGGCAGCAGGGGGGAAUAUUGCACAAUGGUGGAACCCCUGAUGCAGAAACGCCGCGUGCGGGAUGACGGCCUUCGGGUUGUAAACCGCUUUCGGCCAUGACGCGGUAGUGGCAGAAGAAGCACCGGCUAACUACGUGCCAGCCGCCGCGGUAAUAC
rnacentral:rRNA from 1 species